rnacentral:misc_RNA from 1 species
GUGUUUUAUUUAUAUUCUUUCAGCCCUCAGGGAGCUUCCAGAAGAACGUUCACAUACAAAGUGUAUAAAGAUGUAAAAACGUAGACCAAUUUCUUGGCCUACCAGAGGUGCACAGGUGUAAGAGGGAAAUGGUCAAGAGGUGUGCACAUACCCUCGAAAGGGUCAGCAACAAAACCUCCUUCGAAAUUUCAAUAAUGAUCCUUCCGCAGGUUCACCUACGGAAA